UACGUAGGGCGCAAGCGUUGUCCGGAAUUAUUGGGCGUAAAGAGCUCGUAGGCGGUCUGUCACGUCUGCCGUGAAAACCCGAGGCUUAACCUCGUGGCUUGCGGUGGAUACGGGCAGACUAGAGGUAGGUAGGGGAGAACGGAAUUCCCGGUGUAGCGGUGAAAUGCGCAGAUAUCGGGAGGAACACCGGUGGCGAAGGCGGGUCUCUGGGCCGAUACUGACGCUGAGGAGCGAAAGCGUGGGGAGCGAACAGG
rnacentral:rRNA from 1 species